rnacentral:rRNA from 1 species
CGUGUAGGCGGGAAUGUAAGUCAGAUGUGAAAUGCCGAGGCUUAACUUCGGAGCUGCAUCUGAAACUGCGUUUCUUGAGUGUCGGAGAGGAAAGUGGGAUUCCCAGUGUAGCGGUGAAAUGCGUAGAUAUUGGGAGGAACACCAGUGGCGAAGGCGACUUUCUGGACGAUAACUGACGCUGAGGCGCGAAAGCGUGGGGAGCAAACAGGAUUAGAUACCCUGGUAGUCCACGCCGUAAACGAUGGAUACUAGGUGUAGGAGGUAUCGACCCCUUCUGUGCCGGAGUUAACACAAUAAGUAUCCCACCUGGGGAGUACGGCCGCAAGGUUGAA